UACGGAGGGUGCGAGCGUUGUCCGGAAUCAUUGGGCGUAAAGCGCACGUAGGCGGAUUGUUAAGUCAGGGGUGAAAUCCUGGAGCUCAACUCCAGAACUCGCCUUUGAUACUGGUGAGCUUGAGUCCGGAAGAGGUGAGUGGAACUGCGAGUGUAGAGGUGAAAUUCGUAGAUAUUCGCAAGAACACCAGUGGCGAAGGCGGCUCACUGGCCCGGUACUGACGCUGAGGUGCGAAAGCGUGGG
rnacentral:rRNA from 1 species